GUACAUAGUGACAUCAUGUUUGCUUAAUGAGAACCACGAUUUUCUGAGAUUAGCAAUAAAUACUGUACGCAAUGAUAUUAUCGGUCGGAAUGAAACUUUUCAGUGCCUGGCAUUGACUAUGGUUGGGAAUAUUGGUGGGAGAGAAUUUGCUGAAUCAUUAGCUGCAGACGUUCAAAAGUUGCUUAUUUCUAGUAGCUGCAGACCUCUUGUGAGAAAAAAAGCUGCAUUAUUGCUGCGCUUGUAUAGAAAAAACCCUGAUGUUGUCAACAUAGAUGGCUGGGUGGAUCGGAUGGGUCCGCCGUUUNNNNNNNUUGGUGUUUUAACAUCUUCUAUGAGCCUUCUUGUUGCUUUAGUAUCAAAUAACCAUGAAGCAUAUUGGAGUUGUCUCCCAAAGUGUGUCAAGGUAUUGGAGCGACUUGCUAGGAACCAAGAUAUUCCAC
rnacentral:misc_RNA from 1 species